CAGGUACCUGAAUUGACAGCAGCAGCUUGAUAUUUCUUCAGAGCUGGAGCUGAAGGGAAAAGAACAUGCCCCACUGUUCUACUAUUGAUGGCCUCGGCUAUAAGAACAGACACUCCUGACUCGGUUGUCGGUUCAAGGAACGAGCUUCGUGCAAGACAGAUGCGCAUUGCUGAGAUAACUGAAAUGAUUCAUGUAGCAAGCCUUAUCCAUGAUGAUGUUCUGGAUGCUGCUGAUACCAGACGUGGUAUGGACUCCCUGAACUCUGCGGUGGGAAACAAGCUUGCGGCAUUGGCUGGUGAUUUCCUACUUUUCAGGGCAUUUUCUGCUGCCGGAUCUCUAGAGAAUACAGAGGUUGUAUCUUUACUAGCAACAGCUCUAAAUAACCUUGUGACAGGUGAGCUUAUGCAGAUGACCGUAACUCCAGCACAACGCUGCAGCAUGGAUUACUAUUUGCAGAAGACAUACUACAAGACAGCUGCACUCAUUUCAAAUAGCUGCAAAGCCGUUGCAGUUCUUUCUGGCCAAACAGCAGAGGUUGCAGGCCUUGCUUAUCAGUAUGGCAGGCACUUGGGUAUAGCAUAUCAGCUGAUCGACGACAUCCUUGAUUUCACGGGCACAUCCGCUUCACUAGGCAAAGGCUCCUUGUCUGAUAUCCAUCAAGGAAUCGUGACCGCUCCUGUGUUGUUCGCAAUGGAAGAGUUCCCUGAGCUACGUGGGAGUGUAGAGCAUGGAUUCAAUGACCCUUCAGAUGUUGCUACUGCCCUUGAAUACCUUGCGAAAAGCCAGGGAAUCGAGAGGACAAGGUUGCUUGCUACUGAACACGCAAAACUGGCAGCGCGCGCGAUCGAUGCGCUUCCUGAGGUUGGGAACAAAGUUGCACUGGUGUCGAGACAAGCACUCAAAGACCUUGCUCAAAAGCUCAUCAGGAGAACAAAGUGA
rnacentral:rRNA from 1 species